rnacentral:lncRNA from 1 species
GGAAGAGAAAAAGCCCUUGGUAUUGUAGGGUCUCCACAGUAAGCUCGGAGCUAACGGAAGUCACCUGACUUCCAGAGAUCCAACUCCCGUCCACUACUGCCUGUGUCUGGGAAUCAAGUUAACAAGACUCGGUUAGGACCUGUGUUUUCAGGCUGGCCUCAGAGUAACCAGCCAGGGGCAGGAGUAAGAGGAGAAAGUCCUCGGGGAUCCAUUCUGCUUCAACAGGAGGGACAAAGCCACUGAGUUGUCCGUCCUCGGCCUAAGGUUAGGCAUCAUGUGGUAAAGGGCAGGUGUAGCCACCGCAGUUCAAGGUAGAGACUAAGGCUGAGAGAGGUCUGGGGAGCAUAGAUGUUCUCCGACCUUUCAGGAGCUCCUGUGUCCUCCCUUGGGCAGAACACAUCCCCAAGGCAAUCCUUUGCCACUGGCCUAACUCAAGGUACCUUUCCCAUCCCCUAAACCCAGCCCUAGAGCCCAAACUGAGAAUCCUUCUGCAGGGACCCUCUCUCAGCUAACGACAUCUAACCUUGUCAUCCGUGUGCUGUGGAAUGUCACUCGGGGGCUGCCUUUGGUCAUCGCUCCUUUGUCGCUCUUGUAUUUCCGUGUCUGUCUUGUCUUCCCGAGUUUGCCAUCUUUAGAAGGCAGGGCUUGGUCUCUCUCUCUCUCUCCCCACUGGGACUCUGUCUCACCUGCACCUUUGGGAACUCAGUUCCCGUGGCGCCAGCCCACAGUAGGGACCCAUGGGCUCCCAGGCCUGGGGAGGCUGCUUGCCUCAUCGCCAGGCUCCUGUGGCCCUAACCCCCGCCUCUUUUUGCCAUUUGCCACAGAUGUGACAAGCCAAGGCGGUGAGCCAGGCUGCAGGAAGGAGCCUCCCUCAGGGUUUCGGGAACUAGACCUCUCACCGGAAAGACCGAUUAACCAUGUCACCACCACACCACCAUCGUCACCGUCGACAGAACAGUCCUUAAUCCAGAAAGCCUGACAUGAAGGGAGAGGAGACUCUUCGAGGAGCACUUUGGGUCCGGAGGGCGAGACUCCGGCAGACGCAUUCCCGGGCAGGUGACCAAGCACGGUGGUCCCUCGUGGAACUGGAUUCGCCAUUUUCUUAUAUUUGCUGCUAAAUCGCCAAGCCCGGAAGAUUAGGGAGUUUUGUUUCUGGGAUUCCUGUAGACACACCCACCCACAUACACACACAUAUAUAUAUAUAUAUUAUAUAUAUAAAUAAAUAUAUAUGUUUUAUAUAUAAAAUAUAUAUAUAUUCUUUUUUUUUUUAAAUUAACUCUGCUAAUGUUAUUGGUGUCUUCACUGGAUAUGUUUGACUGCUGUGGACUUGAGUUGGGAGGAGGAUGUCCUCACUUGGAUCCCGACAGGGAAGACAAUGGGAUGAAAGACUCCGGUGUGGUCUUUCGUCCUUCUUAGAGAGGCCGAAGUCUGUUUGCCUGCCAGGGAGCACGCAAGGCCAGGGCACGGGGGCACGUUGGCUCACUUCCAGAAACACGACAAACCCAUCCCUGGCCCUGAGUCAAGAGGACAGAGAGACAGAUGACAGAUAAAGAGAUAAAGAUUCUGGUUCCGACCAGACGUUUUUGGGGAGCCUCAGGACAUGGCACUAUUGUGGAUCCCCACUAGAUUCUGCAAGAGCACCCUGCCCCUCUGGGCACUGCCUGGAAGAAUCAGGAGCCUGGCCAUCAAGCUCUCUCCUCCACUUCUGAGGAGCCUAGGAGGCCUCCCACAGGGGUCCUGGCAAAGAGAAGACACAGUGGUGGAAGAAGAGGCCUGGUAAUGGCUCCUCCUCCUCCUCCUGGGAACCCCUCGUCCUCUCCCUACCCCACUUCCUGGGUAUAGCUCAGGAGGACCUUGUGUGAUCAGACCAUUGAAACCACUAAUUCUGUCCCCAGGAGACUUGGCUGUGUGUGUGAGUGGCUUACCCUUCCCCAUUUUCCCUUCCCAAGGUACAGAGCAAUGGGGCAGGACCCGCAAGCCCCUCAUGGAGGCAGAGAAAAGAGAAAGUGUUUUAUAUACGGUACUUAUUUAAUAGCCCUUUUUAAUUAGAAAUUAAAACAGUUAAUUUAAUUAAAGAGUAGGGUUUUUUUCAGUAUUCUUGGUUAAUAUUUAAUUUCAACUAUUUAUGAGGAUGCAUCUCUUGCUCUUUCUUAUUUGUACUGUUUUUUUUUGUUUUGUUUUUCUGUGUGUGUGUGUGUAUGAAAUCUGUGUUUCCAAUCUCUCUCUCCCAGAUCGGUGACAGUCACUAGCUUGUCCUGAGAAGAUAUUUAAUUUUGCUAACACUCAGCUCUGCCCUCCCCUGUCCCCACCACACAUUCCUUUGAAAUAAGGUUUCAAUAUACAUUUACAUACUAUAUAUAUAUUUGGCAACUUGUGUUUGUAUAUAAAUAUAUAUAUAUAUAUAUGUUUAUGUAUAUAUGUGAUUCUGAUAAAAUAGACAUUGCUAUUCUGUUUUUUAUAUGUAAAAACAAAACGAGAAAAAAUAGAGAAUUCUACAUACUAAAUCUCUCUCCUUUUUUAAUUUUAAUAUUUGUUAUCAUUUAUUUAUUGGUGCUACUGUUUAUCCGUAAUAAUUGUGGGGGAAAAGAUAUUAACAUCACGUCUUUGUCUCUAGAGCAGUUUUCCGAGAUAUUCCGUAGUACAUAUUUAUUUUUAAACAGCAACAAAGAAAUACAGAUAUAUCUUAAGAAAAAAAAAGCAUUUUGUAUUAAAGAAUUGAAUUCUGAUCUCAAA